UCGAGAAUUUUUCUCAAUGGGGGAAACCCUGAAGGAGCGACGCCGCGUGGAGGAUGAAGGUCUUCGGGUUGUAAACUCCUGUCAUUUGGGAACAAGGCUGCGCAGUUAACUGCUGCGUGAUUGAUAGUACCAGAAGAGGAAGAGACGGCUAACUCUGUG
rnacentral:rRNA from 1 species